rnacentral:rRNA from 1 species
GCAAGUCGAACGAGAUCUUUCGGGAUUUAGUGGCGGACGGGUGAGUAACGCGUGAGGAUCUGCCUAAAGGACCGGGACAACAGUUGGAAACGGCUGCUAAAACCGGAUGUGCCGCGAGGUGAAAUAUUUUAUAGCCUUUAGAUGAGCUCGCGUCUGAUUAGCUAGUUGGUGGGGUAAAGGAAUACCAAGGCGACGAUGAGUAGCUGGGCUGAGAGGAAGAGC